UACGGGGGGGAGCAAGCGUUGUUCGGAUUACUGGGCGUAAAGGGCGCGUAGGCGGUCAGCACAAGUCAGUUGUGAAAUCUCCGGGCUUAACUCGGAAAGGUCAACUGAUACUGUGCGACUAGAGUGCGGAAGGGGCAACUGGAAUUCUCGGUGUAGCGGUGAAAUGCGUAGAUAUCAGGAGGAACACCUGCGGUGUAGACGGCUUACUGGACCAUAACUGACGCUGAGGCACGAAAGCGUGGGUAGCAAACAGG
rnacentral:rRNA from 1 species